rnacentral:lncRNA from 13 species
GUAGAGGACCAGCAGAAACAGCACAGUACCCAGCAGUGUCACUGUGCUUGAUGUCUGUAGAAGACCUUCUAUAAGAGACAUCUUCAGACUGAGCUCAUACACCUUAUACUGGGCUAAAAAGACAACACACUGAUGCUCCUUAAUGGAACAAGUGUGUGUGCUCAGAGAACUUCCACAACAACAGAACUCCAAUGAAUGUUAUUUGUAUAACCUCCCCACACCACCCUAUUGGAGCAAGAUGAGAAGAGGGAUGUUACAACCUCAGAGGAGGAGCUAAACAAUGCAACUCCAGCAGGUCUGUCAACAUAUAAUUGUGAAACUCACAUGAUCUCACCUGCAGGUCAUUGACAAACUCUCCAUAUGAUUUGUGUCCUGGUCUUUCCAAAAAAGAUUUUCAAGGAUUUGAGUGGAGAUCUGCUUCCCCAACCUCCCACUCUCGAUGGCUAUCCAAAAAAUAUGACUCCAUCUAUGGUUCACUUUGGACCCAAGAAAGUGGUUGUUCUGGCAGGAUACAAGAUGGUCAAGCAGGCGCUGGUCAACCAUGCAGAGGAGUUUGGGGACAGGGGAACGCCGCCUGUGUUCUAA